GACGAACGCUGGCGGCGUGCUUAACACAUGCAAGUCGAACGGAAAGGCCCUGCUUUUGUGGGGUGCUCGAGUGGCGAACGGGUGAGUAACACGUGAGUAACCUGCCCUUGACUUUGGGAUAACUUCAGGAAACUGGGGCUAAUACCGGAUAGGAGCUCCUGCUGCAUGGUGGGGGUUGGAAAGUUUCGGCGGUUGGGGAUGGACUCGCGGCUUAUCAACUUGUUGGUGGGGUAGUGGCUUACCAAGGCUUUGACGGGUAGCCGGCCUGAGAGGGUGACCGGCCACAUGGGGACUGAGAUACGGCCCAGACUCCUACGGGAGGCAGCAGUGGGGAAUAUUGCACAAUGGGCGGAAGCCUGAUGCAGCAACGCCGCGUGCGGGAUGACGGCCUUCGGGUUGUAAACCGCUUUCGCCUGUGACGAAGCGUGAGUGACGGUAAUGGGGAAAGAAGCACCGGCUAACUACGU
rnacentral:rRNA from 1 species